rnacentral:rRNA from 1 species
UACGUAGGGUGCAAGCGUUAAUCGGAAUUACUGGGCGUAAAGCGCGCGUAGGCGGACCUGCAAGUCGGGGGUGAAAGCCCGAGGCUCAACCUCGGAACUGCCUUCGAUACUGCGGGUCUCGAGUCCGGGAGAGGUGAGUGGAAUUCCUAGUGUAGAGGUGAAAUUCGUAGAUAUUAGGAAGAACACCAGUGGCGAAGGCGGCUCACUGGCCCGGUACUGACGCUGAGGCGCGAAAGGCGUGGGGAGCAAACAGG